AGCGAACGCUGGCGGCAGGCCUAACACAUGCACGUUGAACGAACCCUUCGGGGUUAGUGGCGGACGGGUGAGUAACACGUGGGAACGUGCCUUUAGGUUCGGAAUAACUCAGGGAAACUUGUGCUAAUACCGAAUGUGCCCUUCGGGGGAAAGAUUUAUCGCCUUUAGAGCGGCCCGCGUCUGAUUAGCUAGUUGGUGAGGUAAUGGCUCACCAAGGCUACGAUCAGUAGCUGGUCUGAGAGGAUGACCAGCCACAUUGGGACUGAGACACGGCCAGAACUCCGACGGGAGGCAGCAGUGGGGAAUCUUGCGCAAUGGGCGAAAGCAUGACGCAGCCAUGCCGCGUGGAUGAUGAAGGUCUUAGGAUUGUAAAAUCCUUUCACCGGUGAAGAUAAUGACUGUAGCCGGAGAAGAAGCCCCGGCUAACUUCGUGCCAGCCGCCGCGGUAAAAC
rnacentral:rRNA from 1 species